GGGCCGCUGGUCUAGUGGUAUGAUUCUCGCUUAGGGCCACACCCAAGUAUACCAAGAGCUGAACCUGCCUAAAUAGGUUCUUAUAUUUGCGAGAGGUCCCGGGUUCAAUCCCCGGGUGGCCCC